UACGGGGGGAGCAAGCGUUGUUCGGAAUCACUGGGCGUAAAGGGAGUCUAGGCGGUUUGGUAAGUGGGAUGUGAAAUCCCCGGGCUCACCCCGGGACCUGCAUCCCAAACUGCUGAGCUUGAGUACAGGAGAGGGGUGGGGGAAUUCCAGGUGUAGCGGUGAAAUGCGUAGAUAUCUGGAGGAACACCGGUGGCGAAGGCGGCAUCCUGGACCGAGAUUGACGCUGAGGCGCGAAAGCCAGGGGAGCAAACGGG
rnacentral:rRNA from 1 species